rnacentral:lncRNA from 1 species
AGACAGCAGACAUGAACUUAGAGACACUGAGAGGACAUGGAUCAUCCAACACUGAUGCUGCUGGUGACUCUCUGCAGUUCAGGUACGACUCUGUUCUGCUCUUUAUCAAUCAAUGCAUGUGUGAUCUGACAUCAGAAGGUAUUCAAUGUAUUUUUAUGCUCACAUCAACAUUCAUGUUCGACCAGCAGGUUCAGAGGAAUUCAGGCUGGUGGGAGGAGCCAGCAGCUGCACUGGGAGACUGGAGAGGAAGGUUCUGGAAGAAUGGAAAAAAGAGGUUGAAGACAAGUUUAAUAUGAGCUGGACCUUGGAGCGUGUGGAUGAUGUUUGCAAAUCCCUCGACUGUGGAUCUGUGGUGUCUAUGAGGAGAAUUGAAGGAACAUCUGAUUCUUAUAGAAUUAAUUUGGAGAUCAUCUGUUCAGGUCAGUGUCAUCA